GACGAACGCUGGCGGCGUGCCUAAUACAUGCAAGUCGAGCGAAUCAAUAGGAGCUUGCUCCUGUUGGUUAGCGGCGGACGGGUGAGUAACACGUGGGCAACCUGCCUGUAAGACUGGGAUAACACCGGGAAACCGGUGCUAAUACCGGAUAAUCCUUUUCCUCUCAUGAGGAAAAGCUGAAAGUCGGUUUCGGCUGACACUUACAGAUGGGCCCGCGGCGCAUUAGCUGGUUGGUGAGGUAACGGCUCACCAAGGCGACGAUGCGUAGCCGACAUGAGAGGGUGAUCGGCCACACGGGGACUGAGACACGGCCCAGACUCCUACGGGAGGCAGCAGUAGGGAAUCUUCCACAAUGGACGAAAGUCUGAUGGAGCAACGCCGCGUGAGCGAUGAAGGCCUUCGGGUCGUAAAGCUCUGUUGUUAGGGAAGAACAAGUACCGGAGUAACUGCCGGUACCUUGACGGUACCUAACCAGAAAGCCACGGCUAACUACGUGCCAGCCGCCGCUGUAACAC
rnacentral:rRNA from 1 species